rnacentral:rRNA from 1 species
AGUGAACGCUGGCGGUAGGCCUAACACAUGCAAGUCGAACGGCAGCACAGUAAGAGCUUGCUCUUACGGGUGGCGAGUGGCGGACGGGUGAGGAAUACAUCGGAAUCUACUUUUUCGUGGGGGAUAACGUAGGGAAACUUACGCUAAUACCGCAUACGACCUACGGGUGAAAGCAGGGGAUCUUCGGACCUUGCGCGAUUGAAUGAGCCGAUGUCGGAUUAGCUAGUUGGCGGGGUAAAGGCCCACCAAGGCGACGAUCCGUAGCUGGUCUGAGAGGAUGAUCAGCCCCCCUGGAACUGAGCCACGGUCCAGACUCCUACGGGAGGCAGCAGUGGGGAAUUUUGGAAAAGGGGCGCAAGCCUGAUCCAGCCAUACCGGGUGGGUGAAGAAGGCCUUCGGGUUGUAAAGCCCUUUUGUUGGGAAAAAAAAGCAGCAGGUUAAUACCCCGCUGUUCUGGCGGUACCCAAAGAAUAAACACCGGCUAACUUCGU